UACAGGGGGUGCAAACGUUGCUCGGAAUUACUGGGCGUAAAGCGCACGUAGGUGGCGACGUAAGUCGGGUGUGAAAGCCCCGGGCUCAACCUGGGAAUUGCAUUCGAGACUGCAUUGCUGGAGUACGGAAGAGGAAGGCGGAAUUCCCGGUGUAGCGGUGAAAUGCGUAGAUAUCGGGAGGAACAUCAGUGGCGAAGGCGGCCUUCUGGUCCAGUACUGACACUCAAGUGCGAAAGCGUGGGGAGCAAACAGG
rnacentral:rRNA from 1 species